UACGUAGGGUGCGAGCGUUGUCCGGAUUUAUUGGGCGUAAAGGGCUCGUAGGCGGCGUGUCGCGUCGGGAGUGAAAGCCCGUUGCUUAACGGCGGGUUGGCUUUCGGUACGGGCAUGCUGGAGUGCGGCAGGGGAGAACGGAAUUCCUGGUGUAGCGGUGAAAUGCGCAGAUAUCAGGAGGAACACCGGUGGCGAAGGCGGUUCUCUGGGCCUGUACUGACGCUGAGGAGCGAAAGCGUGGGGAGCGAACAGG
rnacentral:rRNA from 1 species